rnacentral:lncRNA from 1 species
CCUUCUGCCCAGCCAUUCACGCCUCUCACUGUUUCUCUUUCUCCCUCCCGCCGUGUUUAUAAAGCACGCAUCGCUUCGGUUCCUGAGUGACUCAACCCCGACACCGGUUUUUUAAAACUUGAGGCUUGGAAGGGAGGCCACCCGCUCGCCGCCUCAGCUGCCGGCUGUUUUCAGGGAUCGAGCAGGUGGGGUGGCAGCGCCAGGCAGAAGAGGAGUUCAUCUUCCCCCGCUCGCCCUCACCAGGCGGCUCUGGCACCAGGAGCUGAUGCCUGCUGACUCCCCGUGGCUGCGUUGGUCCCCGAAGGAUCACCUUAUGACAGGCAUCGGAGCAAGAGAAGGACAAGGAGAAAACAAACUACAUUCCCUAAUGCGAGUGAUGAGUUUACGCAGUGAAAGAGCCACCUGUUGA